ensembl:lncRNA
CUACUGGAAUGUUGCCAUCCACAAAGCGCCAAUGGACAAAGUGGUCGUGGACAAUAGCUAAAUAAUACAAUAUUUAUUUGAAGAUAAAUAUAUGUAUAUUAAACAGAUAGGAUACUCUCUUAAACAUUCUGAUAGAUCUAUGCAUGUGAUAGCAGCUGGUGACAUUUUUCUUAACCCUAUUUUUUUAUGUUUUAUAUUAACCUUAUAAAAGGAUAACAAAACAAUUAACACAGACAGCCAAUCCAUAACAGGUUAAAUUUGUACCUAGGAUACGAAGGGGCACAUAUUGUAAUAUAGACAUUUUAGCUUGGUAUUACAAUUAGUAUGUGUCUAGACAGAGCAGAUGUGAAUGCAAGCAGGUUGUUGCAUUUCCGGAAAAGUGGCGAUAGGAGUCCAAAGAGAGGUCUUUUGUCUCAGGUCAGACUGUCUGCAAACGCUCCUCUCUGGAUUGGUGAGUGCAAGUUGCACUGUGCAACAUUAAUACAAACCGAUUACCUACCGUUUUAUUCUCUGCAAGAUAGGGACAUUUGUUCUGAGCUUAUAGUGCUUGUGGUUACAAACACUACACGUCACAUAGGAUAUUAAACUAUCAGGAUAAGAGGGACAUUCUUACAAACCAGCAGAUCUAUUCAACAUCCAUACCAGAAGACGGAUUUGCACAACUAUUCUUUCCUUCACCUAGUCUAGUGGUAAGCUGUUUACUAUAAUUUGUAAAAUGGCAGAGGCCUAUAUACCUUGGUAUUCUGUGAUCUCAACACAAUAUCACAGAAUAUCGAACACCACAUCCGUAUGGAGGACCUGUGUGUGAUCCGAAUAAAGAUCCAUCAAAAUAAAUCCACUCUGCUCAAUAUAAGGGGUGUCCCAUGAGAAGAACAGUUUAAUCGUGAGUUCUGCUCGGUUGUCAUUAAUUUGUAAAAAACACUUGACUCAAACCAUAGAACAUGUAUUUUUUCACACCUUUACAUCUCCAGUGAUGAAUUCCAUGUUGUUCACAGAUCGUGUGCUGUCAAAUGGAAACGUGAUGUGAUCACUGGUCAGCAUCAUCACUGGUCAGUUAGGUGGAAGAAAGGGACGAGCUUCUCACCUCAAAAGAGUGCUCCACCCUCGAGAUGUAUGCUACUGUGCUGGCUUUCUUCAUCAUAGUCCAUGGUGGCUCUUGGCAGUCCCUCCUGCUCAUGCUCAAAGUGCUGGUGUGCCACAGAGAUCAGUAUAGGGCCCAAGGCAUUUUCAUAUUCCACAAAAGCUUGUUUAUCCAUGGACGUAUCCUACGUGGUCAUGUUUAUGUGUUUUCCCUUUUUUUAUCCUCAACCUUCUCGGAAGAACUAGAUGGUUUGAAUAUGACGAAAAAUGAGUUUCCAAGAAGGGAUAGGUCAGUCUCAUUCAUCACAGUAGCUUCAGUUACGGCCAAUGGUGUUGGCCAAUCAUUUAGUGUUGAUCAUUGGAACAUAAUUUACUUUAUUAAGCUUUCAACAUGGAUUUUUUAUUUGUUACUCCGCUAUGUUUCGAAGCUGCAAGCAAAAAUUGUUUUGCGCUUCCCUAUUGGUUAGGAGGCCUCGUUAUCAAAGGUGUUAAACUAUAUUACAUUGACAAAUCAGGGAACUGUAGCAUUUGCAAUGUCACCGUUUUACAUUUAGAUUAAAUUUACAUUUAGCAUUUAAAGGGCAAAACAAUGUAUAAACAUAAAACAAAAACUUGGGAUCCGCCAAAUUAUAAUACUGAUAACCAAAUGCUCAGUGGCCCAAAGACUAGCCAACUUCGUUGACCUCAAGAGCGUGGUCGAGCAGUGUAUAAACAUGUUUAAUCUCCACAACAGGUCCUCUACUUCCUGUAUGUCACACCAAGGACAGCACCCUCAACAUUAUACCAUGCAUGCAUGAUCAGAGAAGUUUCAACGUUUACAACUUGGCUGUGUUAACAACUUCUUCAAUAUUGAAUGUGACUGUUUAAUUUAAUAAGCAGUAAAAUAUGUGACGCCAGCCAGUGCAAUAGAGUAAGGAGAACAUUAAAUGAUUUGAACAGAGCCGGGAGGACGGGGAACCAGCUAGUCAGUCAUCCCUCUCGUUCUAGCGUUAAAUCUCAAUCAGCGUUAGAAAAGAAGCCUUCGCAACAAUCAUUCCACAAGCUCCAUUUAAUGUCCUAGCAAAAAAUAAAAGGAAAAACAAAUGAAAAGAAAAGAAAAAUAGGAGAAUGUGUUUUGAGAGUGAUAAUAGAAAGUGCAUCUUUUUUGUCCACUGGAAUCAACAUAAUAAAAACAGAUCAAAGCAGUUUUAAGCCCAGACGGAGCUGAAUUAUUAAUUUGUAGAAAGAGCGAAUAAGUCGUAAGGAGGUUUUCAGAGCGUUUUGGUAGAGUAGUGUAGAUCAAAGGCACAUCACAGCUUGCAUCUCACUAGGGGGAUUGUUGCACACGCACAUAAAACUCACACACACACACACACACACACACGCAUACACAUGCAGAGAAGCCUUCAAAAUAUAUAUCCUGUACGCAUCCUCCUUUACACUCAUGAAAAUAUCUUUCCAGGCAAAAUAAAACGGGCUGCGUUUGUUAAACUUGCAUUGAGAGUUGGUUGGAUUAUAAUUUUUUUAAACCUUAAGGUGUGUGUGUCUUGUUUAAGCCCAUACAAGGGACAACAUCAUAACAUUUAAGAUGCCCAUCUUAGCUUUUAUUGAGGUGCACAGGAGUCCCGUGGCCAAUCAGAAGAAGCCACGUCGGCCAAUCACAGGACCGUAUCCAAAUCAGUAGGACGAAUUUUUUGUCUACGCCAUUUUUUUUUUCCUUUUAAAUAGUAUUUGUAAAGAAUGUCCGAUAUAUAUACCCUUGCUUAUAACUGGAGUCGGUCUAUGAGUCAAAGAAAAAAAUAAAGAAAAGAAAAAGAAAAAGGAAAUGAUGAUUCAUGAACCGGUCCCUUAUAUAAUCUGCCCUCCGUCUGUACGUAUACACACAUGAGUUUAAUAACAUACCAAUCAGUGGUUAUUUCACAAUUGGGUGGGAGGGUCGGUGGCUUGGGGGGGGCACAAAAAUGUUGACACUCUUUUACAGGUAAAUAAAAGCCGACUUGUUUCGCCGACCAUGUUUCGUCGAUCAGGGCAUAGCAGAGUCCGCAGUGGGUCUGGCUCCCGUCAAGUUCACGUUAAUCAACGGGUUUGAACUAGCGUCUCGAUCCCUCCUCCUCCUCCUCCUCCUCCUCCUUUUCUCUAUGACGGCCACACCUCCACCCCCUCCCCACACAUAUUUCCCUAACCCCCCCCCAUCCCCAUUACUCAUCAUCAGUUACAUAAUUCCUUUCUUACAUACAAAUAUUGACAAAUGAAACCGUGUGGCUUGUGCUUGGAAGCCUUUUCCAGUCCACGCCGUAACCAUAGCGAUAGUUGUGAGGAGGAGGAGGAUGAAGAAGGGGGAAGGGGGCCGGAUGAAGAAGGGUGAAGGGGGGCUGGUUGGGAUCUGGGUCCCCGUUGACCGCGGCCCCCUCACCCCCAGAGGGUGGUCUUGCAAGAAGGUGGUGUCUGGGGUGGUGGUUGUUUUUGGGGGUCCCCGGGGGCCCCCAGACUCAUAGCUGGACCUCGGUGGGGGCGUGCAGGUCCUGGCUACCCCCGGGGGUCUCUGCGUCCAGAGCGGUGGGGGUGGCGAGGGGCAGCUCCUUCAGCAGGAGGCCCCCGUCUGUCGUCUGCUGCUGGUCCGGGGAGAAGUGGGCCCCGUCGGGCUCCAGCCCCUCGGGGCACGGCAGCUUCAGCAGCUCCUCCCGCAGCUGGGCCGUGUGCCUCUGGAGGGGCAGAGGGGGCAGGG